ensembl:lncRNA
CUUUUUAGGGCCGCACCCAUGGUAUAUGGAGGUUCCCAGGCUAGGGGUCUAAUCGGAGCCAAAUCUGCGACCUACACCACAGCUCACGGCAACACUGGAUCCUUACUAUAUCUUUUUAUUAAAUCAGACUUCUUGGCUAAAAAUUACAAGAAAGAAAAAUAACACAUGAAAGUAUACUUAAUGUGAGAUAAGAAAUGGCUCUUCAAUCAAGCAUGCCAAGAAAAACCAUUUUCUUGUCAAAAGGUUAAAUCUAAAUCUUUAUUUACUCAUGCUUCAAUAUAAAGUUUAUACUAAGUCUUCUACAAUGACCAUCAGAUAAUGAAAAUGCUGCAUCUGGAAAGCCUUCAAGAACUCUUCACUAUGUUAAUCACAUGCCAAAAUUAUUUAUUCCUCGAUCUAUAAAAAUAAAUCCAAUUAUUAACUAAAAUGACUACUUAGGAAAAGCACUUAAAGGGUUUUUAGAUACAGAAACAAGAAUAAUUAGUACUGCUUGUCCCCAUCCCAACCCCACUUCCAGUUAGACCAAUAUUUUAACUCAAGAGGAAACUAUUAAAUAAAUGAAAAGCAAAGAGUAGAUUGGCAGUAAUUUGAAGGCAAUAAAAUAUUUUAAAUCUAUGGAAGAGUAUAUUGUAAAAUAUUAUUUCAGAGAUAUGAUUCUAGAAUUUGUGUCUCUGAAUACAAAAUACAUUUUUAAAAAUAAGAGUAGCUCAAUAUGUAUUUUAUUUUUAAAAUGCCAGAGAUUGAACCUGCAUCCUCAUGGAUACUAGUCAAAUUUGCUUCCACUCGAACCCAACUAGUAUGCAUGAGGACACGGGUUUGCUCCCUGGCCUCGCUCAGUGGCUUCAGGCUCUGGCAUUGCCGUGAGCUGUGGUGUAGGUUCCAGAAGUAGUUCAGAUCCGGCGUUGCUGUGGCUGUGGCAUAGGCCGGUGGUGACAGCUCCGAUUUGACCCCUCACUGGGAACGUCCAUAUGCCAAGGGUGCAGUGCUAAAAAGACCAAAAAAAGAAACAAAAAACAUUUAUAUCCACUUACAAAGUCAACAAUAACAUAAUAAAGUGUGGUUAUUAAGAGUGCAAGUUUCUGGAAUACAACUGCUUAAAUUUAAAUCUUGGCCGCCUCCUGCAAACUCUUGAGCAUGUAAUUUGAGUCUUCAUUUUUGUGUCAUCUGUAAAACUGAGGAAAAUAAUAACUAUCUCAUAAGGCUGUUGUAGUGGCUGAAUCAGAUAUAUACAAUAUAGCACAGUAAAAGCAUAGUAAGGAUUCAAUAAAUGUUGCCUAUUGAGUAUUAAUUUAUAAGAGUUAUAACAGAAGUAUAUAAUAAGAGUUAUGAGAGCACAAAGAAGAGUCACCUAAAUAACCCAGUUUUCAAAAGGCUAGAAACCUAAGAUGAAUCUCAGUUAAGAAAUAGUACGACUUUGCCAGAGAAAAGUGGUAAGGGCUUUCCAGUCAAAGAGAACAGUAUAUGCUAAACUACAGACAGACGAUUAAAUAAAUAAAUAAAUAAAUAAAUAUUUCACUUAAUAGUUUGAUACAAUCAAAACAGGUAGUGCUCAUAAGAGACUACCAGGAUAUUGGAUAUAAAGAUUGAGAAAACAUCACAAAGGGACCUCUAUGACAUACUCAGAAGUUUAGACUAUGUCAUAAAUGCAAUGGGGAAACACUAAAGAAUCUUUAGGAUAUUAAGAUAGAUUUGUGAUUAGUGCUGUACUAUUACAGAGGGUGGAUUAGGGGAAGUGAAUCUGAAGUAAACAUCCCUAUUUAGAAAUGAAUAAUUAAGGAAAAUAUAAUAAAGGCAUGAAACAAUGCAGUGACAAUGAAGAUAGAAAGAGACAGAUUUCAAAGAUAACUGGGAGAUAAUAAUGACAGGAUUUGGUAACUGAUUAUAUAUGAGGGCUGAGGAAGAGGAAGGAAAUUAGAAUGACUCCUAUUACCAACAGGUUUUAUUAACAAAUGUUUAUUGACCGACAAUUAUGUGCCUGGUACUACCCUGAGCAUAAAAAGAUGAUUAAAACUUGGUCCAUGACGUCAAAGAAACCACUUAUACUAAGAAAAGCAGGGAGAUUAGUAACUAAUAUUGAAUAUCAGAAACAUUAUAAAGUAAUUAUUUACAAAAUGCUAUGGAAAUUGAAAGGACAAACACAACUGGUGGAAAUGCAUCAAAGACGUAUCUUCACAGUAGUGGAGCUGGGCACAAAACAGCAUAUCAGGUAAAGAGCAAGAGGAAGUACAUAAUCAAAGAGUUAAAGAACAUGACACAGAUGGGGAAUUGUAAAAAAAAUUACUGCGGUUAUGCAGAAGGAAGUGAGUUGUGAAUACCUAGUCAUGAUCCAUUCACAUUCAUAAUCCCAAUAAAUUUUACUUAACUACAGUGUAUCAGUCUGAGUCCUGUCAGGAAACAGAUGGCAUAUUCAAACUGAGUAACUAAGGAGAGUUUAAUAAAGAGACUGUUUUACAAAGGUGUGGGCUGGGUUUAAGGAAACCAACAAAGGGCGGUACAGAACAAGGGCUAGCAACAAUGGAAAGCAAUUUCCAGAAUCAAAAGAAAAUAGCUAUACUAAGAGGGCCACCAGACUGGUAUGGAGGAAGCCUGGGAACAACUAACCUGACCUCAUUCUCCUUCCAUCCAAUCUGCCAAAGUCUCACAUCGACAGAACCCAACUGGAGGUCAGAGAACAAGGGAGCCUGCUGGUGCAAUCCACAGAGGUCAGCCUCCUAUAGUACACAGCAAAGUUGGGGAAAAAAGUAGAGUAGAUCUGGAAGGGUGAAUGGAAAAAUAUGUAACAUGUAGUGAUAAAGUACCACAACAUUCAACUAUAUUUCCCCUGGUCUUAUAAAAUUCAUUCCUAACCUUUAGUUUGGAGAUAGAGUUUAACCAUUAGCCUUUAACCUGCAAAGCUUCUAACAUGAGGCUUCAAUUUCUUCUAAAAUGGAUCUAUACAUGGUGAAUUUUUCUGUCUCAAGUCUAUAUGCUAUAUUAGCUUCCAGCACAAGUGUCUCUGUCAAGAUACAACAUUAUGUAGUUUAUGGAACCAUCAACAACAAAUCACCAAUUGGGAUACAGCCCAGUAGUCACCAAGCAGAUGGAAAAGACACUUUCUGAUAAAUUCUAUAUUCAAGAAUCCUAUGACUGAGUUAACACUUAGGUUGGCUUAGACCAGACAAUCAUUGAAGAGAGAUCAGCCUAUACUGGAAUUCAGCACCAUAGAAGUACUUCUGGAUUCAACUAGAGCAGGUAUGUUAAAAAUUUUCCAAAGUUAAAUAAAUAACAAGUAAUAAUAAGAGAAUUUGUGUUAGAUAAGGUGAUGUUAGUCACAGUAAUAGAUAUACCCCCAAGAUCACAGUGACUUAACACAGAAGUGAAUCUCUUAUUCAUGUAAACUCUAAUAGGACCGGGGAAGAGCCAUCAGCCAGAACCCAAUUAUAUGAACCUACCUAAACAUAAGAAGAGCUGGAAAAGGUAGUCCAGGGCUAGACAGCAGCUGCAUAGUAACAACUAUAUGAAAGAGGAAUAUAAAUCUUGGAUGAACACCUAGCUACCUCUACCAUAAAAUUCUUUUUUUUUUUUUUUUUUUUUUUUUUGCCAUGCAGCAUGCAGACGUUCCCAGACCAGGGGCUGAACCCAUGCCACAGUAGCGACCCAAGGCACAGCAGUGACAACAUCAGAUCCCCUUAAACCCACCAGGCCCCUAGGGAACUCCCCACAAAAUUCAUUUUUAACAGGAAAAAAAAUGUGUGCUAAUACAAACAUUAAUUUGGAGGUUCCAUAUGGCUCAGCUGGUUAAGUAUCUGGCAUUGUCACUGCAGUGGCUCAGGUCACUGCCAUGGCAUGGGUUCAGAGCUUAGGCAUGCCAAGGGUGCAGCCAAUAAAAACAAUUAAUUAUUUCAGUUUUUGGUCAAAAGAAUUAUGAGUGAUGUGAUAUGGGAUGAAACAGAUUCUUCAUGUAUGUAUCUGAGAAGCAAACCACUACAAUAAUUUUAAGAGACACUUCAUAUGCUAACAAAACAAGAUGGAUAUGAGCAUCAUCUCCUUCUGUCAACUGAACAAUACCAAAGCAUCAACUACCAAUAAACAUUGUAGGGAUUCUACUUAUCUACUAUAUUGUUUGGUGUAUCCUUUUUUCCUAGUUUUAGCAUCCCAGAAGCCUAGCUGUGGGAUACAUCAAACUAAGUGUUUUCUUUCCAGCUAAAUGUGAGCUUUGCUAGAAGAAAAAAAUGCUGAACCCCCAGAGAAUUCCAUCUUCCUUCUAUGCCUAAAGGUCCAGAACCUGUGUUUAGCAGAACCUAAAAUUACGUGUGUUACAUAAAAAUAUUAAAUGUUUAUAAAGUAUAAACUCUAUUAAAUUCUUAAUUCUAAAUGCCUUAAAAAGGCAUUUAGCUAGCACUAUGUACUACGGAAAAUACAAAUUAGAGCUUUUUGAUGUGUAUAUAGAUAUAAUAAUGUUCAUAAUAUAUAAACUACAAAAGUGGUAUAUUCUUAGCCCAAUUUAUACUAUCUAGUUGCCUACCAUUUCUUUGGUAACAAUUCUAGAGAGAAAGUAGGUGAAACAAUAUCACUUCUGGUCUAAAUCUGUCCUCAGCUUUUCCUUUUCUAUAACCCUACCUCUAAUCCUACUUCUAGAACUCCCCAUCAAAAAAAUCCAACAAAAUUGGGAGUUCCCGUCGUAGCUCGGUGGUUAACGAACUCAACUAGCAUCCAUGAGGAUGCGGGUUUGAUCCCUGCCCUCACU